CGUUUAGCGGCGGACGGGUGAGUAACACGUGGGCAACCUGCCCUGCAGAUCGGGAUAACUCCGGGAAACCGGUGCUAAUACCGAAUAGUUUUUUGCCCCUCCUGGGGCAAAACGGAAAGACGGUUUCGGCUGUCACUGCAGGAUGGGCCCGCGGCGCAUUAGCUAGUUGGUGGGGUAACGGCCUACCAAGGCGACGAUGCGUAGCCGACCUGAGAGGGUGAUCGGCCACACUGGGACUGAGACACGGCCCAGACUCCUACGGGAGGCAGCAGUAGGGAAUCUUCCGCAAUGGACGAAAGUCUGACGGAGCAAUGCCGCGUGAGUGACGAAGGUUUUCGGAUCGUAAAACUCUGUUGUAAGGGAAGAACAAGUACCAAGUAACUACUGGUACCUUGACGGUACCUUACCAGAAAGCCACGGCUAACUACGUGCCAGCAGCCGCGGUAAUACGUAGGUGGCAAGCGUUGUCCGGAAUUAUUGGGCGUAAAGCGCGCGCAGGCGGUCCCUUAAGUCUGAUGUGAAAGCCCACGGCUCAACCGUGGA
rnacentral:rRNA from 1 species